GCCUGGCUGGCUCAGUCAGUAGAGCAUGUGACUCUUGAUCUUGGGGUUGUAAGUUCAAGCCCCAUGUUGGGUA
rnacentral:tRNA from 1 species